GUCUCCGUUCAGAGCAGCAGGACAAGCUGAGGCAGAGCAGCAGGAGGAGAGUGAAGCUGUGCUGAGGCAGGACUAACUCCACCCUGAUAUCAAGAAGAUGGAGGAAGAGGACAGAGCAGGAUCUGCAGCAUCCAGCUGUGUCUCUGUGAGGAGUGAUGUGUCCAAAGACAGACCUCCACAGUUCAGUAAUGAACCUGCAGCAACAACAGGUCAGAGGUCACAGUCUACCGUAUCCAGCUGUGUGUCUGUGAGGAGUGAUGUGUCCAAAGACAGACCUCCACAGUUCAGUAAUGAACCUGCAGCAACAACAGGUCAGAGGUCACAGUCU